CCGGUGCGCACCAACUUCCGGUCGGAGCCGCUUCCUCUCCCCCGCGCCGCUCGCUGCCGCCGUCAACGGGAUUGGGGGGGAGGGGGGAAUGGGGGGGCGUGGCCAGGCCGAAAGGCCACGCCCCUUCCGGCUCUGACGCGCAGUGGUGACGUCAGUUCUGCGCCGCUUCCGCCGCCGCCAUCCCCGUCUCCGGCCCGGCCCGGCCCCACCGGAACCGCCCGCGGGUCGGGCCCGGAUCCGCCAUGGCUGAGGAUUACCGGGACCGGGAGCGGCGCUGAGGCGGGUCACGCCAUGGACCGGAUGAAGAAGAUCAAGCGGGCAGCUUUCCAUGACGCUGCGGGGGGGCGCGGCCCCGAAAAGAGCCCGGGGGGACCCCGAGACGGCCCCAAUAGCGACGGAGGUGAGUCUGGC
rnacentral:lncRNA from 1 species